CAUCCUCAUAAAUCCCACAACACAGCCACAAUAAAUAGAGCACCAGGAAGAGCGCUGAGGCCUCCAUCUCAGGCCUUAGCUCCUAGAAGACAUUUCUAGACACAUCCUGGGCUAGAAGGAGACCUACUGCCUUGAAGGGAAGGACCUGUUUUUGGCAGGAUUCUUCACCUGCUGACUAAAGAGCCCUUGUGGCCACUAUGAGCAACUGUAUGCCAAUAAAUUGGAAAACCUAGAAGAAAUGGAUAAAUUCCUGGACACAUGCAACCUAAAAAGACUGAGCCAUGAAGAAAUCCAAAACCUGAACAGACCAAUAACAAGUAAUGAGAUUGAAGCCAGAUAUCCACAUACAAAAUAAUGAAACUAGACCUGUAUCUCUCACCAUACACAUGGAUUAAAUGAAAAUGGAUUGAAGAAUUAAAUGUAAGACCUCAAACUAUGGAACUACUACAGGAAAACACUGGGGAAACUCCCUAGGACAUUGGACUGGGUAAAGAUUUCUUGAGAAAAAUACCUCCAAAACAUAGGCAACCAAAGCAAAAAUGGACAAGUGGGAUCAUGCCAAGUUAAAAAGCUGCAAAGCAAAGAAACAACAAAGUGAAGAGACAACCCAGAGAAUAAGAGAAAAUAUUUGCAAACUAUCUACCUGACAAGGGAUUAAUAACCAGAAUAUAUAAGGAACUCGAACUACUCAACAGGAAAAAAUAUAAUAAUCCCAUUAAAAAUGGGUAAAAUAUCUGAAUACACAUUUCUCAAAAGAAGGCAUACACAUGGCAAACAGGUAUAUGAAAAAGUUCUCAUCAUCAU
rnacentral:lncRNA from 10 species